rnacentral:rRNA from 1 species
GACGAAUGCUGGCUGCGUGCUUAACACAUGCAAGUCGAACGGUGAAGGGGAGCUUGCUCCCCGGAUCAGUGGCGAACGGGUGAGUAACACGUGAGCAACCUGCCCCUCACUCUGGGAUAACUCCGGGAAACCGGGGCUAAUACCGGAUACGACCGGGAGCGACAUCGCUCCUGGUGGAAAGAACUUCGGUGAGGGAUGGGCCCGCGGCCUAUCAGCUAGUUGGUGGGGUAACGGCCCACCAAGGCGACGACGGGUAGCCGGCCUGAGAGGGCGACCGGCCACACUGGGACUGAGACACGGCCCAGACUCCUACGGGAGGCAGCAGUGGGGAAUAUUGCGCAAUGGGCGAAAGCCUGACGCAGCGACGCAGCGUGAGGGACGAAGGCCUUCGGGUUGUAAACCUCUUUCAGCGGGGACGAAGCGAAAGUGACGGUACCCGCAGAAGAAGCACCGGCUAACUACGUGCCAGCCGCCGCCGUAA